AGAAACAGCGUGCUCGGGAUCCGUCUCUAUCCCCCCCUCAGAGAGCGCCAUGGCGGUCGGGAGUAGAUCGAGGAUGGCGACGCUGAGGACGACGGCGUCGCUGCCGAUGCCCCGGCCGCCAGGAGGGCCGACGCCCCACCCCCUGUAGCGUUCCUGGACGUCAAGCCACCUGUGGCAGAUCCAUCCGGCUGAUCCACACCUUCUCCAUGAUCGAAGACUUCCGGAGGUAUGUUGGGGUACAGGAGGGUUGAGCAACUGUGACCCGAGAUGAACUUAGUUUGAUCAGACUGAAUGAAGCCAGAGAAGAAAAAGCAGCUGUGAUUGCCGCCAACCAAGCUUCCACAUAAAGUGGAAGCAGCUGUGCUACUCUUGAUGUAUCUCGAACAAAAUAUGUAGUAGGCUUAUCAACAAAGUAAAGAGAAAAUUUGAAGUAAGUUUGAUGGAUCUCUUUUACGGCAUAGUCAGACAGGACAGGUAGUAGGCAGUUGUUCAAGAGAAAAGGCUAGGCUUCUGAUUCAUCCAUUUGUGGAACUUCAACCAUGAGGCCCUUCUCAUUCCCGCUCCUUGUGGAUUUAGCAUCGUAGUGUAAGUGGAGCUCAUGAUGGUGCCGCUUGUCAGAAGCUGUAAGGAGGCCUUGCUACCUCACUUGGAUACAUAAAGAAGGACUGGCUUGUCCUGUUGUGGGGCUGGUGGAUGCAAGCGAGGAUCAACACAAUUCUCAACACAAUAUGACAAUUACUGUAUCAAUUUAGUGCAUCCACGCAGGAUGAUUCCCUGUGGCAUGUCAUUGGCCAUGUUCACUGGAAAACUCCAUGCUGGUUGAUUAGAUUAUGAGGGCAGAUUCUUGAAAGCAUGUUUAGAUGCAGUGGUUCGGAAGUGAGUGACAUUCAAUGGAAGAUCAGUUCCGCCUAGGAACCAGCAAUGGAGCAGUCGAUCCGGCAAUGGUAAUGGCAACGCAAGCCAAGCGCUACAGCGACAACGAUGGCAGAUCUUCGAGCCCCACCGUUCUCAACUUUCUCGAGGUGAAAGCCGAGCGCCCGAUGGAGCCUUUCGAGCUAAAUGGUUCCGUGAGCACUUCCCUAUUGUUCCCUUCUCCUCCAUGCUCUUCUUUUUGCUCUUCGUUGGUUCGGUCAUACGUCGUCUUCCCUGCAAGCGAUGUCCCUCCUGCAGGAAAACGAGAUUUCCACCUCCAAACACAUCAGAAACUUAAGCAGCGCAGCGCCCCUCAAUGGCUGCAGAUUCACAGUACCAACUCGACAUCGUCGCUUCAGCAGCGGCUGGGGCAUGGACCGGUGAAGCUCUUCAGAGGGGUGAGACAGAGGCAGUUGGGGAAGUGGGUGGCGGAGAUAAGGCUGCCGAGGAACCGGACCAGGUGUGGCUGGGGACAUUCGACACGGCCGAGGACGCGGCCAUGGCCUACGACAUAGCGGCCUACGAGCUCAGGGGAGAUGCGGUGCAUCUCAACUUCCCUCACGCCAAGCAACAGCUCCACGUCGCUGCCCGGGGACCCGGUCAUCCUCAUGCAGCGAUUUCUUCGCUACUGGAAGCAAAGCUCCAGGCUUCUGGCGGCUCCGCCUGCUCCACUUCUCCGUCGUGGAGCUUGAACGAGUUGAAACGAGCGUGGGAUUAAGAUCUUUUACGUGUGGGCGUCGACGAAUGCGGCCCACCGGAGAUGUAACGGCACAAGACCGCGAGCGCCGACAGUAGCCCGGCCUUCAUUGAGUGCUCCGGGCAAGGAGCUGCAGUGGGAUGCAGGUGGGGUGACGAUAAGCAGGAUGCCUUCCUUGGACAUGGACAUGGACACGAUAUGGGAUUCUCUCCCCAAACCUUGAUUUCCGAGUUCUUGGACUCGCUCCGUCUCUCCCUGCCUCUUAGCUUCUUUUCGUUGAUCACGAGUCCCGAGAGGCCGCUUCUCAGGCCUCCGGAUUUUGUCCCUCCCAUUCGUGAGUAGAACAACCAUAUUCUUGAACUGGCUUCGAGUUCGCUUUAGGUAUAAUAAUAAUUAAAAUUAAAAUUAAAUUAA